GUGCCUUCUCCCGGAGCUUCUCCAGCUUCUCCCUUACUUUUCUCUUGUUCUCUUGCCUGGAGGUUCUUGCUUCUGCAGGACCAGCCACCAGAAGCGUUGCUAUGAACGCAGACGACAUGUAUGACAGUGCAUCUCUACGGGAUAAACUGCUUGUUAGCCUUGAUUCAUGUACAGUGGUUGCCUGGUUGUGCCUGCAGCAAGUCACAGUCAUCAUCCGUGGCCUUCUGACGGC
rnacentral:misc_RNA from 1 species